GACGAACGCUGGCGGCGUGCUUAACACAUGCAAGUCGAACGAAGUGGCGAACGGGUGAGUAACGCGUAAUCAACCUGCCCUUCAGAGGGGGACAACAGUUGGAAACGACUGCUAAUACCGCAUACUGAAGGAGGGGAUUGCGUCUGAUUAGCAAGUGGGGGGGGAAACGGCCCACGAAGGCGAUGUUCAGUAGCCGGUCUGAGAGGAUGACCGGCCAAAUUGGGACUUAGACACGGCCCAGACUCCUACGGGGGGCAGCAGUGGGGAAUCUUCCGCAAUGGACGGAAGUCUGACCGAGCAACGCCGCGUGAUUGAAGAAGGUUUUCGGAUCGUAAAACUCUGUUGUUAGAGAAGCGGUAUCUACCAGAAAGCCACGGCUAACUACGUGCCAGCAGCCGCGGUAAUUC
rnacentral:rRNA from 1 species